GAAGAAUGCAAAGCCUGAUUGGGGUUGGGGGUGUGAUCAGGGAAAGUGGCCAAAAGCCUUUCGUGGAGAGACAGGAUCUGAGGAAGGGAAGGAGUUCAUUAUUAUUCUCUGAAGUCAUCAGGGAGCACCAAGAGGGUGGGAUUUCAGGAAGUAUUUAAAUGAAAGGAGACACAUGGCUUGGCACAGUGAGAGGGAGGUUUUCCAGGCUUCCUGUGCUGUCUUGGGGACCUGCUCAGAGGCUGGACCGCGUCAUGCUCAGAAGGCCCUGUUUUCUUUAGACGCUGACUCCUGCUGUCUACCAGAUCCUCGUGGUACAAUGACUGGUGUAGACUGGCUUGUUGAAGUCACUCUCUGGAUCUGAGCAACGCUGGCUGAGCCGUGAUGAAGUAUUCCUAUCCAUCCACUAUGCUUCACAGUGGGAAUCUCUCACUGUUCAUCACCGCUGCCCUAGCAGCCGCAGCUAACAUCUUCUAGUCAAACAACUCUCCUUUUCAAAGGGACCAGGCACAGUUUCUGCUUAUCCCUGAGUAGCAGUGUUCAGUUUCCUGCCAGCCUGUGGAGUUUUUCAAACAAGCCAAUCACCUCCUCCUGUGGGAACUGAGAAGCACCCCACCCUCUCGAUACUACAAAGCCCCUGCUUGUUCCCUAGUGCAACUCCCAUGUGGUCCUGUGGAGCAUAUGGUAUCUUCCUCUUCUGGGCAGUGAGCAUAUGUGACUAAUAA
rnacentral:lncRNA from 1 species